GGCACAGUCUGACUUGGUCUGGAUGUGGAAGCUGUUGGUGGUGCCCGUGUGCUCGUAGUCGUGGAUGGCGGCAGCGAAGAUGAUGGCCAGGACCUCAAUCUCCGUCAGAUAGUGCAGCAUGCCGGUGCGGAGCAGGAAGCAGUGGACGGUCUGGGUGACAUCGGCGGCGUGCGCCUGGUUGUGGUAGGGGUUGCGGUACUUCCC
rnacentral:lncRNA from 1 species